rnacentral:tRNA from 1 species
UUAUCCCCCUCAGUGA